rnacentral:rRNA from 1 species
GGCUCAGGAUGAACGCUGGCGGCGUGCCUAAUACAUGCAAGUCGAGCGAACGGACGAGAAGCUUGCUUCUCUGAUGUUAGCGGCGGACGGGUGAGUAACACGUGGAUAACCUACCUAUAAGACUGGGAUAACUUCGGGAAACCGGAGCUAAUACCGGAUAAUAUUUUGAACCGCAUGGUUCAAAAGUGAAAGACGGUCUUGCUGUCACUUAUAGAUGGAUCCGCGCUGCAUUAGCUAGUUGGUAAGGUAACGGCUUACCAAGGCAACGAUGCAUAGCCGACCUGAGAGGGUGAUCGGCCACACUGGAACUGAGACACGGUCCAGACUCCUACGGGAGGCAGCAGUAGGGAAUCUUCCGCAAUGGGCGAAAGCCUGACGGAGCAACGCCGCGUGAGUGAUGAAGGUCUUCGGAUCGUAAAACUCUGUUAUUAGGGAAGAACAUAUGUGUAAGUAACUGUGCACAUCUUGACGGUACCUAAUCAGAAAGCCACGGCUAACUACGUGCCAGCAGCCGCGGUAAUACGUAGGUGGCAAGCGUUAUCCGGAAUUAUUGGGCGUAAAGCGCGCGUAGGCGGUUUUUUAAGUCUGAUGUGAAAGCCCACGGCUCAACCGUGGAGGGUCAUUGGAAACUGGAAAACUUGAGUGCAGAAGAGGAAAGUGGAAUUCCAUGUGUAGCGGUGAAAUGCGCAGAGAUAUGGAGGAACACCAGUGGCGAAGGCGACUUUCUGGUCUGUAACUGACGCUGAUGUGCGAAAGCGUGGGGAUCAAACAGGAUUAGAUACCCUGGUAGUCCACGCCGUAAACGAUGAGUGCUAAGUGUUAGGGGGUUUCCGCCCCUUAGUGCUGCAGCUAACGCAUUAAGCACUCCGCCUGGGGAGUACGACCGCAAGGUUGAAACUCAAAGGAAUUGACGGGGACCCGCACAAGCGGUGGAGCAUGUGGUUUAAUUCGAAGCAACGCGAAGAACCUUACCAAAUCUUGACAUCCUUUGACAACUCUAGAGAUAGAGCCUUCCCCUUCGGGGGACAAAGUGACAGGUGGUGCAUGGUUGUCGUCAGCUCGUGUCGUGAGAUGUUGGGUUAAGU